GGCUGUUGUUGCUGAGCGGAGACAUGGCGAUGCCGAUCUGGGCCAGGUAGUACAGAACCCUGGGGUCAGAACCAGAGCUGCAGCUGGAUGCGAAGCCGGCUGCCCUCCCCAUACCCAGCUCUGCGCUGCCUGCUCACGUGCUCUAAGAAGAGAUGCAGUUCCGGGUGGCUGGCAGGGUGCACAGUGGCCUCGAACAGUGGCAGGAAGAUGUUCUCCAGCAUCUCCUGGAAGUUGGCCAGCUGGCCCUUGGUACGGUACACAUCACUGCAGGUUCCCCUCCCACUCCAGGGACACUCACAAGAGGCGGGGCACCUGCACCAGCCAGCGCACGUUGGGGGAGUGCACGCGGUGCAUGACGGCCCAGCGCGCCAGCUUGUCCCACUCAUCCCUCGAGCGCCCGUAAAUGGAGAGCCGCAGCUCUGCAUUCUGGUAUUUGCUCUCCUCCAGGUCUGACAUCACCUCCUAGACAUGAGGUGAGCUGAGUCAGACAUGAGGUGAGCUGAGUCAGAGCUCUUCAGGGGGUCAUCUGCCUACCCUCCUUGAGUCUCACCCCCUAAAAGCCCCCAGAUCCUCAGGCUCGAGGCUUGGCAGGGAAGGCUGCCUCCUUACCUUGAUGAUGUGAGCAAAGUACUUCCCAGAUACCCUGUUGUCCGUCUUGAUGAAGAUCUCUCGGAGGACGGACUCCCCA
ensembl:lncRNA novel transcript